rnacentral:rRNA from 1 species
ACGAACGCUAUCGGUAUGCUUAACACAUGCAAGUCGGACGGACUAAUUAGGGCUUGCUCCAAUUAGUUAGUGGCAGACGGGUGAGUAACACGUGGGAAUCUGCCCAUCAGUACGGAAUAACUUUUAGAAAUAAAAGCUAAUACCGUAUAUUCUCUACAGAGGAAAGAUUUAUCGCUGAUGGAUGAGCCCGCGUCAGAUUAGGUAGUUGGUGAGGUAACGGCUCACCAAGCCGACGAUCUGUAGCUGGUCUGAGAGGAUGAUCAGCCACACUGGGACUGAGACACGGCCCAGACUCCUACGGGAGGCAGCAGUGGGGAAUAUUGGACAAUGGGCGAAAGCCUGAUCCAGCAAUACCGAGUGAGUGAUAAAGGCCCUAGGGUUGUAAAGCUCUUUUAGCAAGGAAGAUAGUGACGUUACUUGCAGAAAAAGCCCCGGCUAACUCCGUG